UACGUAGGGGCUAGCGUUAUCCGGAAUUACUGGGCGUAAAGGGUGCGUAGGUGGUUUCUUAAGUCAGAGGUGAAAGGCUACGGCUCAACCGUAGUAAGCCUUUGAAACUGGGAAACUUGAGUGCAGGAGAGGAGAGUGGAAUUCCUAGUGUAGCGGUGAAAUGCGUAGAUAUUAGGAGGAACACCAGUUGCGAAGGCGGCUCUCUGGACUGUAACUGACACUGAGGCACGAAAGCGUGGGGAGCAAACAGGAUUAGAUACCCGGGUAGUCCCUGAGCGGG
rnacentral:rRNA from 1 species